rnacentral:lncRNA from 10 species
GCUUAAAGUAUAAUAAAAAAAAUUGAAAUUAUAAGAAUGUAUACAAACAAAAUAAAAAUGAAAUAAAAUAAAAUAAAAUGAGUGUGUGGAAUAUGUAAAGUCUCCAGGUAUGUUUUUACCCCCAGAUUUUUUUUUUUCACAAACUUAAUACAUGGGGCUGGGAGUGGAGGCUCAUGUCUGUAAUCCCAGCACUUUGGGAGGCCAAGUUGGGAGGAUUGCUUGAGCUCAGGAGUUAAGACCAGCCUAGGCAAUAUGGUGAGACCCCAUCUCUUUAAAAAUAAUAAUAAUAAUAAUACAUUGGUAGGCUAAAGUUGCAGAACAAAUAUAAUUCUUGGUCCUGUAUACAAAAGAACCCUCAGUGAUAGUAUGCUUUUUAUUCAAAUCCUUGAAGAUCAAGGUUUAAGUAGUUUUAUUUUAGGGUAGGAUGUGUUUCAUGCAGCAUUAAUUUUAUUGUCUUUUUUUAAAAAAGCAUGUAAUUGGUGUAGUCAGGACUGAAAUUUUAUUCGUCUCCUCAGAUGAAAGUAGUAUCUUAUUAAACAGCCCUAGACCAGGAAAUACAAGGGCAUUAUAAUGAAUAAUUCUAAGCUCAUUAUGAUCUCAGUGAAUAGGUUCAGAUUCAGCACAAUACUAGAACUGAUGUUUAUUAACACUGAUGGCACAAAGUACAUGUCUGAUCCACUUCAAUGGAGUCAUUAUUUAGUGUGACACUGCACUGCCAAAUGCAGCCAUGUUUGUGGAAAGACAGGAAGUUGUCACAGGGCCAGGAGCAGUGGCUCACACCUGUAAUCUCAACGCUUUGGGAGGCCAAGGUGGGAGGAUUGCUUGAGCCCAGGAGUUUGAGACCAGCUUGGGCAACGUAGUGAGACCUCACAUCUCUAACAAAAAAAAAAAAAAAAAAAAAAAAAUAGAAAAAAUAAAAAAAAAACUAGAAAGUCAUUACAACAAAAUUUUAUGCCAGAAAAUGUACUAUCAAGACCCAUAGACAUAUGUAAACAUGGUCUCUUUCCUAGGCAUGGACACUUAUACCUUUAUCACCUAAGAAAGAUGAAGGUCUAAGGCAGAAACACAGCUCCUUUAUUAGCUAAAACGUCUUGUAACAUCAGACGCCUUAAAUUAUCCACUAAUUACAUUUAAAUAAAAAAUGUGGGGACAAAUUAGCUUUAAUCGAAUUAAAAUGAAAUUUCUAGUGCAGCUAGAUGGCUGUUUUGCUAGAAUCUGUUUAGCUGUAAAUUCCAUUUAGAGUUGUUAAUAGUAUUCCUCUUCAACUCUGUUUAACCCACCCAUCAUCAUGGUGAAUUGCCAAAUGUCUUACAAGGUAGAAUAAAUAUUCUUGGACCUCUUUUCAGGUCAGGCAUCAUUGGAAAUUUCUCCUUUUCACUUUACUAUUAUUUUUGAGACAGAGCCUCACACAGGCUGGAGUGCAGCGGUGCAAUCUCAGCUCACUGCAACCUCUGCCCCCUAGGUUCAGGCAAUCCUCCCACCUCAGCCUCUCAAGUAGCUGGGAUUACAAGU